CUCUUUUUUCAUUAUCUGUUGCAGAAUUUUGCAUUUAGAAUGGCAUCAUCAUCAGCUACCACAAUGAAGUUGUUCGUCGUUUUUGUCAUCGUAUUCACCACCGUGGCCUCGGCCCAAGACCUUAGUCCGUCGUUAGCUCCAGCACCCGGUCCUGACGCUGGAGCUGCCGGAUUUGUUACAAGUUCUGUGGCUAUGAUCGGAGCUUCAAUUGUGCUGUCAAUGGUCGCCAUUUUCAAGAACUAAGAGAAGUCCAUUUUGUGGGAACACUAUUAAUUAUUUAUCAGCACAUAUGAUUCUUAUUGUUUUUUUACAAUUAUUGAACUGCUUAUCAUAGAGUUCAUCUAUGUAUGUGGUUGUAUAGCGGAUUGGAUAUAUUGUGUGAUUUUUACAAUUUAAUUAUUUAUUGUACAUGUUAGAGAAAAAUAAAAAAAUUGGAUUUUUGUAUUCUUUUUCAGUUUUAUUCUUCUAUUUUUGUUUGAGGGAUUCUAUUAUUAUUAUUAUUAUUAUUAUUAUUAUUAUUAUUUGGUGCCAUGAAAUUUAGAUGGAUAUUUAUAUUUUAUUUUUAGGUCUUGUUAACGAGUGCCUCGGGCACUCUUUAAGCAUUAUAAAAGAAAUUAUUUCAUACAAAAAGUAAAAAAUUUCAAUUCUCAAUGCAUUAAUUACAUUAAUUUUUAAUAAAAGUUACUUUUUAAAGAUCUUAAAGAGUGUCCGGGAGCACUCGUUAACAUUUUCCUUUAUUUUUAACAGUGAUAUUCAAACAAUUAAAAUGUGAUAAUCUUCUCGAUUUUAAAUGUUAAUUUGGUUAAAAGAAAAAAAAAUUAUUAUUAAAUUGACAAUAGUAUGGAAAUACGAUGACAAACAAUUUUUAGUUUUAAAAAUUACUUUUCUCUUUUAAUUUUGUUGGGAAUUGAUAUCAUGCAACUAAAUUAAAUUGAAAAUUUAUAAGGACAAUGCAUAAUAUAUGCAAGGUUCGGGGUUCCUGGCCACUACUCAAAAUAAUUUUUUUUUUUUUUGAAAACUCGGUAUCUGAUCCAAGAAUCGAUUAAUCAGAGGGGACCAAUCCCACCGCCCACUUGCGGGGGCCCCAUUUUAAAGCUAGAGCAAGCUUUGUAUGGACUUAGCCCACCAAAAUUGACACCAGAGGAAAUCGAACAUAAGACCUUUGAAGGAGCAGACUCCAAGAUCCCAAGUCAAUCCCAAAUGGGUUUUAAAUUUAAAAUUUUUAAUCCAUGAAAUCAUACGUUUAUUUUUGGAUGGAAGAGUAUUAUCAUUUCUCAAAUUGUUUUUUAUAUUAGCGCGUUUAAUAAAUACUAAUACUAAUAUAUAAGGGUAUACACGUCCUGUGAGCAUAGCUCAGUUGGUAGGAUAAUGCAUUACUAUAUGCAGGUAGGCAUGGCAACAGAACCCGUACCCGCGGGUACCCACCCGAACCUAUCCCGAUUUUGACGGGGAAAAUCCGCUUUGACUGGGUUUGGGUUUGGGUUUUCCCCGAUUUUAAAGGAUGGGGGUGGGGCGGGUAAUGGGGAAACAUGUACCCACCCCGAACCCGUCCCCGAACCCGCCCCAAUUAUAUUAAAUUACACAAUUACCCCUAUUUUAAUAUAAAGUCUCAAUUAAUCAUACUGUAGUCACUUCCCACAAGUCUCAAUUAACCCCUAUUUUGAAGGAGCAUUGGUUCUGUUUCGGAAGACAUUGUUUUUCUCUUAAUAGUCUGGUGGUUUAUUUGUUUUGGUUAGGUGGUUAUAGUUGUGAUGAUUAGUGUUGUAAUUGCUUGUGCAAUUUUAUCAAUUUGUUAUAGUUCUUUGUACUUGUUAUUCUCAAUUUUAUCAAUUUUAAUGUUUAUAUUAUAACUUGUAUAUUUUAUAUAGGUGAAAUAUUAGCUAGUGGUGUUACUUCCCUCUUUGAAGAUGGUCAAUAGUAUUUUGAGAAAAGAGAAAGAAAGAAGACUACAUUGGUGGUGGCAGCUUAUCUAGCUACUUUUGUUAGCAAUUUCAAUGAACAAUGAUUUUUAUCUACUUGUGUUAGCAAUUUCAAUGAACAAUGAUGUAGUUUUGGAAUAUUGGUUUGGUUAUGUGGUUGUUUUGAUGGUAGUUUGGAAUACUCUUAUCUACUAGUACUAUAUUAUUUGGUUUUGAUAAAUUUAAUAUUGGUUUUGAUAAUUUGGAUUACUAGUUGUAUGGUUGCUGCAUUACUUUAUUUGAAAUAAUUUUAUUGUAUAUUCGGAUGAAUUUUGGGUUCAUGAUAUAUGUUCUAGUUUGGGUCAAGGGAUUAUGUUUAUUAAAAAUCUGAAUCCACUGCGAGUAUGGGGGCGGGGCGGGGAUACCCGAACCCAUUUGGGAUGGGGUUUGGGUUCAAUUAUUCAUCCCCGUCGGGGUACGGGGUGGGGAACGGGGCUUUAUCAGGGAAUUGGGUUUGGGGAUGGGGUAGGUAAAAACCGUCCCCGCUCCGCCCCAUUGCCAUGCCUAUAUGCAUGGGUCGGGAUUCGAAUCUCGGACACCUCACUUAUUCAUCUUAUAAGGUGAAUUCUUGCCACUAAGCUACCUGACCAAAAAAAAAGAUAUACACUAUUUUGAGUUGAACUUUUUCUUUUUAAUUUUACCAUUUAUUAAAACUAGUUAGAUCUCAUUAAAAUAACAACAAUAUACAAUAAUAGAAGAAACAAUUCACAAAAAUAGGAACAAUAUUAGAUUUUUUUUUUUUUAAGCAAAGAGAAAAUAGAUUAAAUAAAAAUAAAAGUUCAAGAUACUGGGGACAUAAACUUAACCCAAUGGAAAUAAACAAAAGUGUAACAACCUUUAAAAGGCAAUACAACCAUGAAUCAACCCUAACGGAUAUAAACAAACAAAAUAUAAACGAAGAAACAAAAUCUUAAGUGAAUAAUGCAAACCACGACAAGAUAUAAAAACCUAAUUUUAAACUUGUGUAAAAAAAAAGUUUUGAUGUAACAUUUUUCCUUCCAAUUUUACCUUUACUUAAUUAUUUUAACUAUUACUUGCCUAUAAAAGCGGAAAAGACAAACACAUUAGUAGUGGUAAUAAUAUAAACAAAUUGAUUCCACAUAAAAUUCUUUUAUCAUAUUAUUUUUCUAAUAAAUUAAUAGCGUAAUGACAUCAAAAAGAGUAAAAGACAUCCCAACCCGUUUGACAUUUCUAAUUCCAUUCUCUGAAAUGCACCUGCUCAAUAGCUAUAAUAAAUUAAUAAUGGCUAAAAUCUCUCCAUGCAUAAUAGAAAAAUUGUUAAAAAUUGAUUUUUUUUGAAAAAUACUUCCUAAGAGCCUUUAACCAAGUAAGCCACGAAGCUUUCAAAAAAAAUUGAAAUGAUUAGAGGUGGAGGCUUAAAAUUGGGAAUCAAUUUCAAAUGCAGCAGAACUUGCACUUAUGGGCUACCAUGUCUAACUAUGUUCUUAGACAAGCUAGCACUAAGAGAGUUAGCUGUAUUAAUCUUGAUAAUAGCUGUAUUAUCUCUUGUCUUCUAUGUCUUGACACCAAGGUAUUUUCUCUGCUGAAUAUGAUUUCUGACGCAGAUUUGUAUUAGUUUGAAACAUGAUUUACUAGUCAAUACCUGUAAUUUUUUACCCCUCUUUAGUCAUGAUGUUAGGCAAGUUGAUGUUAGAUUAUAGCAUAAAACUUGUCCUGCUGUAUGCGGUGGAGGUUCUGCUGUCUGCAGGGUUUUUUUUUGCUUGCAUGUUGCCGGUUUGGUGUGUGCCUGGGUGUUUUUUUGGUGCUGCUGUUGGUGUUUUCAACAACUGCAGCAUGGCUGAUAAGCGCCUGUUUUUUCAGUAGUGGUUGCGGUUUUGCGGCUGUGCAAGUUUCUAGCCUUCUGGUGUGUCUAGGCAAGCUUGUAGUUUGUUAGUGGGAAGCUGUAGUUACUGCCUUUCUGUGCAGGUUUGGGUGUUUUGGUUUUUCUGUGCUAUCUUUGUUAUUGUUGGGUUAUGCCUAUGCCGCUUUAGGCCUUUUGAUUUUUGGGUAGAGGUUCCGCAUAUAUAAAGAUUUUGGUGUUCCUACAUUGUUAGGUGUUCCGCAUAUUUCCGGCACCUUUGUAUGUUUCUCUUUGUAGUCCAAGCUUUUGUUAUUCUUUCACUAGUUUGGCUUCAUAAAUUUUCACUUGUUGUUGGUACCACUGGUACCUUAUAUUUCUAAUAAAUUUUUGUUUUGGCUUUUAAAAAAAAAACUAUAUGAAUUUAUCCAAGAUUUUACUGUGAUUUUGUGCGGUUGAUGAUUGAAGGAUGACGACUAUAGACGGACUUGUGACAAUGGAGGGAUGACAACUACAAUUAGACUUAAUUACUGUACAUGUGUAUACCACAUUUGUUGUGGGAUUAUUGCAUUUAGUAGUUAAUUAUAGUCUAUACUUGUCUAUUGAAAUUGUCUACGAUGAGUAGUUAAUUCUUUUUAAAUGUCAUUUUUGCAGUGGCGAAGAAUAUUAGACACAUGGAUUAUAUGUGUACUUACAACUCUUAUAAUACAAAUAUUAGUUUUAUUAAAAAAGUUUUUUGUUUCAAUAUUUUUCUAUUCUUACAAGUCACGUUUUAGAGAAUAAUCCAAAUUCAUUUCCAUUUCACAUGAUUUUGCUAAUAAUUGAUGUAUAAUAUGCCAAAUGUUUUAAUAGAAGGAAUUAUUAGGGAAGAAAAUAUAGUUAUUUUGUUUCAAUUAUUAAAAAAAAAUUAACGAUUGUAAAAAAAAAAAGUGAACGAAAUCGAGGUAAGAAAUUUAAUAAAUUAUGAUAGAAAAAAAUUUAAAUUAAUUAUUUUUUUAGGAUUUUUUUUCAGUUAAUUAGUUUAAAAAUGGAAGAAAUUAUAAGAAAUAAAAUUUAGUCAAAUAAAGGAAUUCAAUUACUUUGUCAUCCAAACAAUGAAUUUUGAAAAUGAAGGAAUUCAUUUACUUUACCCAAAUAAUGAAUUUUGAAAAUGAAAGGAAUUCAAUUGAAUUCCUUAAAAUUUCAAAUUCCCUUGAAUUUUCAAAUGCUCUAUCCAAACACACUCUUAGGUUUGGUCUAAAAUAGAAAGUUAUAUAUAAAAAAUUGAGUAAUUAUAAAAAGAAAAAACUCUGAAAUGUUUUUUUAGGGAGAAAAAAAAACUCUGAAAUGUUAAAAAGAAAACUUUAAAAUGUCUAGUUUUUAACGUGGGUCUUGUCGGCAAGUUUAGUUAAUUACGGAAAAAUAAAUUAAAGAAUCUUUGCCAAAUCAUCAUAGGCUGUUUAAUUAACAAAACCGAAAAGCAAAAACAGCUAAAUAACGUAACGUAAACCAACACAACGGCACCAACCAGAAAGCCAUUCAUACGUUAACAACACCGAAACACCUGUUUCUCAAAUCCAGCUAUCAACGUUUUCUGUGGGCCCCACAUUCCUUCCCUUAAUCUCUAUAUAAAUACUCCCCACUUCCUUUCAUCACCACCAUAUAUCAAAACUUCUUCAACACCAAAAACUUUUUAAUAACACUUUCCAUUUUUUCUUCUCUGUUAAAUAAUUUUACAAUUACAAUGGCAUCAUCAUCUGCUACCACAAUGAAGUUGUUCUUUGGUUUUGUCAUCGUGUUUGCCGCUGUGGCCUCGGCCCAAGACCUUAGUCCCUCGUUAGCUCCAGCACCAGGUCCUGAUGCUGGAGUUGCCGGAUCUGUUGCAGGUUCUGUGGCUAUGAUCGGAGCUUCAAUUGUGCUUUCAAUGCUCGCUAUCUUCAAGAAUUGAAAAAAUUAAAGACUAUGAGGUCAUUUUGUGGGAACACUAUUAAUUAUUUCUUGACACAUGAUUCUUGAUGUUUUUCAAUAUUGAUCUGAUUAUCACGAGUUCAUCUAUGUAUAGUGAGAGUGAGAGAGAUUUUUAUUGUAUUUGUUCAUGUUUAUAAUCAUUUAUUGUAGAUGUAGAAAAAAAAUAAAAGAGGAUAUUGAAUCCUUCGUGCUUCUUCAACUUCCUCGUUCUUUUAUUAUUGUUACGUGUAAAUUUGUUUUAAGUAAUUUAAUAAUUAAAAAUUCACCUUUAAGCAAAUUCGAAUCUGCGUCAGAGUUUGAAUCAACUGAAUUAAACUCACAAACACACAUAUAUAUUAUUAUUUUGGUUAAUUAAGUAUUUAUAAUUUCAUUUUUCUCCCUUUCAUUUUUUUUUCAUCAUGAUUUUGUUCUUCUUAAAAACGCUAAAGAAUGUUAAAGUGAUUAAACAAAAUAACGAUAUUUUUUGAAGAUUAAAAACAAAAUUCUAUAUAUUUAUAUGGACACAUUUAUUUGUUUAACCCUUAUUAUUAAUAGAAUUCUCCGAUUUCAUGGAUUUUGAUGGGUAUCAUUAUCAUUUAGCCAAAUUAAUUCAAAAUUUAAAUUCACUUUCAUAAUAUCCUUUUUUUAAAAAAGGCUAAGCAAAAUGUAGUAAAAAACCAACACAAGCUAAAAAAAAGGAAGCUAAAAUAUCCAAAUAUUACAAGAGGAAAAUACAAGCUAUCCCAAUGCAGCCAACUAAAGCAAAAUUAUGUUACAACAUUUUCCAAUGAAGAGAGAAGUUGUUCCGUUUUAUUAUGGAAACGCCUCAUCCUUCCAAAUAGUAAAAAGAAUUUGAAGGAUCGUUGAAAUGUCUAACCAGCUCAAUAUCAAAAGUCAAAGUUGCCCAUAAAAAACACAUGAAAAAAAAACAAAUGAUCUUGAUCCUCUACCAAUCCGCAAGCGGCCAAAAAAAGUAUCAUUAUAAUCCAAGAUGUUUCUCAUUAACAAAUUCAUCCGACAAAUAAAAAUAUUGAUCUUAGCAAAAUUUACUUAAGCCAUAAAACAUGAUUGCAUCGGUCAUCAACAACAACAUCCGAAGUAGCCAAGUGAAUAUAUACGCUUUUGACCGUGUACCCAUGGAAAGAAUGAAGCAUACAAAUCUACCUGUCAGUCAGAUCAACCUACAAAACAACAAGUUACAGUUGCUCCAAAUGUCGUAUAUUUUAGGAUGGAAGAGAAUUGUUAUUUUUUGCAACAAUAUUUUAAUUUUAGGCAAAAUUACAUCAUUCAUAUCGUAACUUAUUUCCUCCCUUUAUAAUUAUCUAUAUCCUUCAUAUUUCAUUUUCUUCACUUUGAUACUUUGAAUUUGUGAUUUUUGUACGAAGAUGUUGUGACACUACGGAUGAUAUAUUUUUUUUUUUAUAAAUACAAUUUUUUAUUUGAAGAUUUGAUGUCGUUGUUGAUGGAGAUGGCGAUUUUAGCUUUAUUUUAUUUUUAUAACAUCUCGAAAGUUAUUGAAGAUGAUAAUGAACAUGAUAAGAAUUUUUUUAUCUCUAGACAAAUUUUGUAAAAAAGGACAACAAUCUCAAUAUUUAAAAGGGUUUAUUAAGUAAAAGAAAAAGUAAGUCAAGGAAAAAUAUAAUAAAUAAAAAAGAAAGAGAGGCAGAGACUAUGGACAUUACACCUGGCUCAGAUACAACAUAAACUAGAAUAUAUCAUAAUGGUUAAGUGGAACAAGUGUAAAGUAUCCUAACAAAAAUUCACUCAUCAUGUGCACACUCCAACGAAUUCGGAUACGGACGCGACACCAAGUUACAAAUAGAGAGUAUGAUAAUAUAACUAAAAUUAAGUUAUGAGAUCGAUGUAGUAAUUUCACCAUUUUUUUUUAUGAUAAGAUUUUUUUUUUGGGUGCGGGGUAACGUGGGUCUUGGUGGCAGGUUUAAUUAAUUACAGAAAAAUAAAUUAACGUCCCAUAAGUAUAGUUUAGUUGGCAGAUACAUGUAUUAUUAUAGUUUAGUUGGUCAAGUAGCCUAGUGGCUAGAGCUCACACAAUUUAAUUGUGGAGAAGUGGAGUGUUCGGAGUUCGAACCCCGGCUCCUGCAUAUGAUAUGCAAUAUCCCUACCAACUGAGCUAAACUCACGGGGAUAAAAAAAAAAAAAAAAUUAACAAAUCUUUACCACAUAAUCUUACUGUUUAAUUAACAACCCCAAAUGUAACCAAAAAAAAUAAAAAAUCAACAUCGAAAAGCAAAAACAGCUAAGUAAAGUAACGUAAACAAACACAACGGCAACCAAACCAUACAACAACCCAUUCAUAACGUUAACAACACUGAAACACCUGUUUCUCAAAUCCAGCUGCCCACGUUUUCUGUGGGUCCCACAUUCCAUCCCUUAUAAAUACUCCCCACUUCCUUUUAUCACCGUAUAUCAAAAUCUCUUCAACACCAAAAACUUGUUCUUAAUUAACACUUUCAACUCUUUUCUUUAUCUGUUGCAGAAUUUUACAAUCACAAUGGCAUCAUCAUCAACUACCACAAUGAAAUUGUUCUUCGUUUUUGUCAUCGUCUUUGCCACAGUGGCCUCGGCCCAAGACCUUAGUCCGUCGUUGGCUCCAGCACCAAGUCCUGACGCUGGAGCUGCCGGAUCUGUUACAAGUUCUAUGGCAAUGAUCGGAGCUUCAAUUGUGCUGUCAAUGCUCGCAAUCUUCAAGAACUGAGAAAAUUAAAGACUAUGAGGCCAUUUUGUGGGAACACUAUUGAUUAUUUCUUGACACAUGAUUCUUCUUGCUGUUUUACAAUAUUUAUCUAUGUAUAUUGUUUUACAAUAUUCUUCUUGCUGUUUCACUAGUUCAUCUAUGUAUAUUGAGAGUGAGAGAGAUUUUUAUUGUAUUUAUUUAUGUAUUUAAUCAUUUAUUGUAGAUGUAGAAAGAAAAUAAAGGAGGAUAUUCAAUCGUUCUUGUUUCUUCAACUUUCUUGUUCUUUUAUUAUUGUUACGGUUAAAUAUUUUUUUAAGUAAUUUAAUGAUUAAAUAUUCACCUUUAAAUAAUUAUAUGUUAGUAUUGGAGUUCGAACCAACCGAACACAAUGAGU
rnacentral:lncRNA from 1 species